rnacentral:rRNA from 1 species
CGCCAAUGGGGGGGUGCUAUACAUGCAGUCGAGCGGACCGACGGGAGCUUGCUCCCUUAGGUCAGCGGCGGACGGGUGAGUAACACGUGGGUAACCUGCCUGUAAGACUGGGAUAACUCCGGGAAACCGGGGCUAAUACCGGAUGCUUGAUUGAACCGCAUGGUUCAAUCAUAAAAGGUGGCUUUUAGCUACCACUUACAGAUGGACCCGCGGCGCAUUAGCUAGUUGGUGAGGUAACGGCUCACCAAGGCGACGAUGCGUAGCCGACCUGAGAGGGUGAUCGGCCACACUGGGACUGAAACACGGCCCAGACUCCUACGGGAGGCAGCAGUAGGGAAUCUUCCGCAAUGGACGAAAGUCUGACGGAACAACGCCGCGUGAGUGAUGAAGGUUUUCGGAUCGUAAAACUCUGUUGUUAGGGAAGAACAAGUACCGUUCGAAUAGGGCGGUACCUUGACGGUACCUAACCAGAAAGCCACGGCUAACUACGUGCCAGCAGCCGCGGUAAUACGUAGGUGGCAAGCGUUGUCCGGAAUUAUUGGGCGUAAAGCGCGCGCAGGCGGUUUCUUAAGUCUGAUGUGAAAGCCCCCGGCUCAACCGGGGAGGGUCAUUGGAAACUGGGGAACUUGAGUGCAGAAGAAGAGAGUGGAAUUCCACGUGUAGCGGUGAAAUGCGUAGAGAUGUGGAGGAACACCAGUGGCGAAAGCGACUCUCUGGUCUGUAACUGACGCUGAAGCGCGAAAGCGUGGGGAGCGAACAGGAUUAGAUACCCUGGUAGUCCACGCCGUAAACGAUGAGUGCUAAGUGUUAGAGGGUUUCCGCCCUUUAGUGCUGCAGCAAACGCAUUAAGCACUCCGCCUGGGGGAGUACGGUCGCAAGACUGAAACUCAAAGGAAUGACGGGGCCCGCACAAGCGGUGGAGCAUGUGGUUAAUCGAAGCAACGCGAGAACUACAGUCUGACAUCCUCUGACAACCUAGAGAUAGGCUCCCUCGGGCAGAUUGACAGUGGUGCAUGAUGUCGUCAGCUCGGUCUGAAUGUGGGUUAGUCCGCACGAGCGCAGCAUGACUUAGUGCCAGCCAUUCAGUUGGUCACUCUGAGUGAACUUGCGAUGACAACCGGAAG